GAUGAACGCUGGCGGCGUGCCUAAUACAUGCAAGUCGAGCGAACAGACGAGGAGCUUGCUCCUCUGACGUUAGCGGCGGACGGGUGAGUAACACGUGGAUAACCUACCUAUAAGACUGGGAUAACUUCGGGAAACCGGAGCUAAUACCGGAUAAUAUUUUGAACCGCAUGGUUCAAUAGUGAAAGACGGUUUUGCUGUCACUUAUAGAUGGAUCCGCGCCGCAUUAGCUAGUUGGUAAGGUAACGGCUUACCAAGGCGACGAUGCGUAGCCGACCUGAGAGGGUGAUCGGCCACACUGGAACUGAGACACGGUCCAGACUCCUACGGGAGGCAGCAGUAGGGAAUCUUCCGCAAUGGGCGAAAGCCUGACGGAGCAACGCCGCGUGAGUGAUGAAGGUCUUCGGAUCGUAAAACUCUGUUAUUAGGGAAGAACAAAUGUGUAAGUAACUGUGCACGUCUUGACGGUACCUAAUCAGAAAGCCACGGCUAACUACGUG
rnacentral:rRNA from 1 species